rnacentral:rRNA from 1 species
GAUGAACGCUGGCGGCGUGCCUAAUACAUGCAAGUCGAGCGAACAGACGAGGAGCUUGCUCCUCUGACGUUAGCGGCGGACGGGUGAGUAACACGUGGAUAACCUACCUAUAAGACUGGGAUAACUUCGGGAAACCGGAGCUAAUACUGGAUAAUAUAUUGAACCGCAUGGUUCAAUAGUGAAAGACGGUUUUGCUGUCACUUAUAGAUGGAUCCGCGCCGCAUUAGCUAGUUGGUAAGGUAACGGCUUACCAAGGCAACGAUGCGUAGCCGACCUGAGAGGGUGAUCGGCCACACUGGAACUGAGACACGGUCCAGACUCCUACGGGAGGGAGCAGUAGGGAAUCUUCCGCAAUGGGCGAAAGCCUGACGGAGCAACGCCGCGUGAGUGAUGAAGGUCUUCGGAUCGUAAAACUCUGUUAUUAGGGAAGAACAAAUGUGUAAGUAACUAUGCACGUCUUGACGGUACCUAAUCAGAAAGCCACGGCUAACUACGUG